rnacentral:rRNA from 1 species
GACGAACGCUGGCGGCGUGCUUAACACAUGCAAGUCGAGCGGUAAGGCCCUUUCGGGGGUACACGAGCGGCGAACGGGUGAGUAACACGUGGGUGACCUGCCCUCAGCUCUGGGAUAAGCCUGGGAAACCGGGUCUAAUACUGGAUAUGACUACCAUGACGCAUGUUGUGGGGUGGAAAGCCUUGUGCGGCUGAGGAUGGGCCCGCGGCCUAUCAGCUUGUUGGUGGGGUGANGGCCUACCAAGGCGACGACGGGUAGCCGGCCUGAGAGGGCGACCGGCCACACUGGAACUGAGACACGGCCCAGACUCCUACGGGAGGCAGCAGUGGGGAAUCUUGCGCAAUGGGCGAAAGCCUGACGCAGCGACGCCGCGUGAGGGAUGACGGCCU